rnacentral:rRNA from 1 species
GACGAACGCUGGCGGCGUGCUUAACACAUGCAAGUCGAACGGAAAGGCCCUGCUUUUGUGGGGUGCUCGAUUGGCGAACGGGUGAGUAACACGUGAGUAACCUGCCCUUGACUUUGGGAUAACUUCAGGAAACUGGGGCUAAUACCGGAUAGGAGCUCCUGCUGCAUGGUGGGGGUUGGAAAGUUUCGGCGGUUGGGGAUGGACUCGCGGCUUAUCAGCUUGUUGGUGGGGUAGUGGCUUACCAAGGCUUUGACGGGUAGCCGGCCUGAGAGGGUGACCGGCCACAUUGGGACUGAGAUACGGCCCAGACUCCUACGGGCGGCAGCAGUGGGGAAUAUUGCACAACGGGCGGAAGCCUGAUGCAGCAACGCCGCGUGCGGGAUGACGGCCUUCGGGUUGUAAACCGCUUUCGCCUGUGACGAAGCGUGAGUGACGGUAAUGGGUAAAGAAGCCCCGGCUAACUACGUG